rnacentral:rRNA from 2 species
GAAGGUGGCCUGUGAGGGUUGCUGGAGGUAUCAGAAGUGCGAAUGCUGACAUAAGUAACGAUAAAGCGGGUGAAAAGCCCGCUCGCCGGAAGACCAAGGGUUCCUGUCCAACGUUAAUCGGGGCAGGGUGAGUCGACCCCUAAGGCGAGGCCGAAAGGCGUAGUCGAUGGGAAACGGGUUAAUAUUCCCGUACUUGGUGUUACUGCGAAGGGGGGACGGAGAAGGCUAUGUUGGCCGGGCGACGGUUGUCCCGGUUUAAGCGUGUAGGUGUGUGUUCCAGGUAAAUCCGGUUCACUUUAACACUGAGGCGUGACGACGAGGCACUACGGUGCUGAAGCAACAAAUGCCCUGCUUCCAGGAAAAGCCUCUAAGCAUCAGGUAACAUCAAAUCGUACCCCAAACCGACACAGGUGGUCAGGUAGAGAAUACCAAGGCGCUUGAGAGAACUCGGGUGAAGGAACUAGGCAAAAUGGUGCCGUAACUUCGGGAGAAGGCACGCUGACACGUAGGUGAAGUGAUUUACUCAUGGAGCUGAAGUCAGUCGAAGAUACCAGCUGGCUGCAACUGUUUAUUAAAAACACAGCACUGUGCAAACACGAAAGUGGACGUAUACGGUGUGACGCCUGCCCGGUGCCGGAAGGUUAAUUGAUGGGGUCAGCGCAAGCGAAGCUCCUGAUCGAAGCCCCGGUAAACGGCGGCCGUAACUAUAACGGUCCUAAGGUAGCGAAAUUCCUUGUCGGGUAAGUUCCGACCUGCACGAAUGGCGUAAUGAUGGCCAGGCUGUCUCCACCCGAGACUCAGUGAAAUUGAACUCGCUGUGAAGAUGCAGUGUACCCGCGGCAAGACGGAAAGACCCCGUGAACCUUUACUAUAGCUUGACACUGAACAUUGAGCCUUGAUGUGUAGGAUAGGUGGGAGGCUUUGAAGCGUGGACGCCAGUCUGCGUGGAGCCGACCUUGAAAUACCACCCUUUAAUGUUUGAUGUUCUAACGUGGACCCGUGAUCCGGGUUGCGGACAGUGUCUGGUGGGUAGUUUGACUGGGGCGGUCUCCUCCUAAAGAGUAACGGAGGAGCACGAAGGUUGGCUAAUCCUGGUCGGACAUCAGGAGGUUAGUGCAAUGGCAUAAGCCAGCUUGACUGCGAGCGUGACGGCGCGAGCAGGUGCGAAAGCAGGUCAUAGUGAUCCGGUGGUUCUGAAUGGAAGGGCCAUCGCUCAACGGAUAAAAGGUACUCCGGGGAUAACAGGCUGAUACCGCCCAAGAGUUCAUAUCGACGGCGGUGUUUGGCACCUCGAUGUCGGCUCAUCACAUCCUGGGGCUGAAGUAGGUCCCAAGGGUAUGGCUGUUCGCCAUUUAAAGUGGUACGCGAGCUGGGUUUAGAACGUCGUGAGACAGUUCGGUCCCUAUCUGCCGUGGGCGCUGGAGAACUGAGGGGGGCUGCUCCUAGUACGAGAGGACCGGAGUGGACGCAUCACUGGUGUUCGGGUUGUCAUGCCAAUGGCACUGCCCGGUAGCUAAAUGCGGAAGAGAUAAGUGCUGAAAGCAUCUAAGCACGAAACUUGCCCCGAGAUGAGUUCUCCCUGAGACUUAGAGUCUCCUGAAGGAACGUUGAAGACGACGACGUUGAUAGGCCGGGUGUGUAAGCGCAGCGAUGCGUUGAGCUAACCGGUACUAAUGAACCGUGAGGCUUAACCUUACAACGCCGAAG